rnacentral:rRNA from 1 species
CCCUUAGAUGUCCUGGGCCGCACGCGUGCUACACUGACGCAUACAGCGAGCACUUUCCAGUUCCGAGAGGCUACUGGUAAUCAUCAAUAUGCGUCGUGAUGGGGAUAGAUCUUUGGAAUUCUGGAUCUUGAACGAGGAAUGCCUAGUAAUCGCAGGUCAUUAGCCUGCGAUGAUUAAGUCCCUGCCCUUUGUACACACCGCCCGUCGCUACUACCGAUUUCGAGUGGUCAGGUGAAUCUUUCGGACUGUGGGCGCCCUUGAGGUGUUCGCGGAAAGUCAGGUAAAUCUUAUCACUUAGAGGAAGUAAAAGUCGCAACA